GUACUCACUUCAGCAGCACAUACACAAAAAUUAGAGCCAUACAGAGAAGAUUAGCAUGCUCCCUGCACAAGGGUGACACACAAACUCGAAACAUGCCAUUUUU